AUGAACGCUAGCGGGAGGCUUAACACAUGCAAGUCGAGGGGCAGCACAGGUAGCAAUACUGGGUGGCGACCGGCGGAUGGGUGCGUAACGCGUAUGCAACCUACCAUUGAUUGGGGCAUAGCCCGAAGAAAUUCGGAUUAAUACUCCAUAAUAUUCAUCAAAGGCAUCUUUUAUGAAUUAAAGCUUUUGCGAUCAAUGAUGGGCAUGCGUGACAUUAGUUAGUUGGUGAGGUAACGGCUCACCAAAACGAUGAUGUCUAGGGGUUCUGAGAGGAUUAUCCCCCACACUGGUACUGAGACACGGACCAGACUCCUACGGGAGGCAGCAGUGAGGAAUAUUGGUCAAUGGACGCAAGUCUGAACCAGCCAUGCCGCGUGCAGGAUGACGGCCCUAUGGGUUGUAAACUGCUUUUCCACGGGAAGAACCCUCCGACGUGUCGGAGACUGACGGUACCGUGGGAAUAAGCAUCGGCUAACUCCGUG
rnacentral:rRNA from 1 species